GCUGCCUUUGCGUUUGUGACAAGUUUGGCAUCCAGCGCGUGCCGUAGUAAGAGGUCAGAGGCAAAAUCCAAUAUGGCAGAGUCCAGUUAAAGUACAAGUCUGAGAAGAGAGAAAAGUAUUUUGCAAAGCCGAACAUGUAAGACAACGGACAUCCCUGUGGAAAUUAUAAAAGACUCUUCUCACCUUAGUUGUGGACAAUUUAACUCCAAGGGCUGAGUGUUAUCCCUGAUACUCAGAAGAUCUGGAUGCGAACAUGGGGCUGCUCACAACAAUUCAGAUGGAAAGUACAUGGCUGGACAGCUUGCUGUCUAUGGAUACAAAAUGACAGAGAAUCCAUCUGAAGCCGAUCUGUGGUUGCUGAACAGUUGCACCGUGAAAAACCCAGCUGAUCACUACUUUAGAAACUCAAUCAAGUACAGCAAAUAGAUCGUGUGGUUGAGGUAGUGGAUGUAACCAUUAAAGGUCACUCUGUAAGACUACUGGGUCAGAAAAAGGAUAAUGGAAAACGGUUGGGGGGAGCUCGAUUGGAUUUGCCGAAGAUUAGGAAAAACCCACUGAUAGAAAUCAUUUCCAUCAAUACAGGAUCACGGUGGCCUACUGCUUUUAAUGUACCGACAUCUGUGGAAGGCCGUGGCGAGUGAUCGCAGUGUGCAGGUGCAGUGACGUCACAGACCAGGAAGAAGCGGAACCAAACAAGGUAUUUCUUUGUUUGAAACAGCCUUAGCCGAAUCUUUAAUAAAUAAUAAACCAAAGAUGUGAACACAAAA